GAGAAGGUUGGACAAACACAAUCCACUAAUCCGGCGUUUUUAUUCCACGACAAGAGAAGAGAUUCAGUCGAGCAUCACACAAUCCGGCUACAAAUACCUCAAUCUAGAGCUACUCGAACUUGUAGUGCUUGUCGACGGCCUCGGUGACGUCCCAGGUGCAGCUCAUCCCCUUGGGGAACACCACCAGGUCCCCGGCAGCGAUCUCCACGAACCCCUCCUCGCCGUCCGGGUACACCUUCACCUUCC
rnacentral:lncRNA from 1 species